UACGAAGGGUGCUAGCGUUACUCGGAAUUACUGGGCGUAAAGAGCGCGUAGGCGGCUUAACAAGUUGGAAGUGAAAUCCCAGGGCUCAACUCUGGAAUUGCUUUCAAAACUGUUUCGCUAGAGAUUGGUAGGGGAUAGUGGAAUUCCUAGUGUAGAGGUGAAAUUCGUAGAUAUUAGGAGGAACACCGGUGGCGAAGGCGACUGUCUGGACCAAAUCUGACGCUGUGGCGCGAAAGCGUGGGGAGCAAACAGG
rnacentral:rRNA from 1 species